AAAGACCUUGCGCUUUUGGAGCGGCCGAUGUCUGAUUAGCUAGUUGGUGGGGUAAGGGCCUACCAAGGCGACGAUCAGUAGUUGGUCUGAGAGGACGACCAGCCACACUGGGACUGAGACACGGCCCAGACUCCUACGGGAGGCAGCAGUGGGGAAUUUUGGACAAUGGGCGCAAGCCUGAUCCAGCAAUGCCGCGUGAGUGAUGAAGGCCUUCGGGUUGUAAAGCUCUUUCAGUCGAGAAGAAAAGGCUGCAGUGAAUAACUGUAGUUUAUGACGGUAUCGACAGAAGAAGCACCGGCUAACUACGUGCCAGCAGCCGCGGUAAUACGUAGGGUGCGAGCGUUAAUCGGAAUUACUGGGCGUAAAGGGUGCGCAGGCGGUUUUGUAAGUCAGAUGUGAAAUCCCCGGGCUUAACCUGGGAAUU
rnacentral:rRNA from 1 species